CUCAGCGGUUAAGAGCACUGACUGCU
rnacentral:piRNA from 2 species